rnacentral:rRNA from 1 species
CUACGGGAGGCAGCAGUAGGGAAUAUUGGACAAUGGGCGCAAGCCUGAUCCAGCCAUGCCGCGUGAGUGAAGAAGGCCCUCGGGUUGUAAGGCUCUUUUGUCCGGAAAGAAAAGCAUUCGGUUAAUACCCGAGUGUUCUGACGGUACCGGAAGAAUAAGCACCGGCUAACUUCGUGCCAGCAGCCGCGGUAAUACGAAGGGUGCAAGCGUUACUCGGAAUUACUGGGCGUAAAGCGUGCGUAGGUGGUUUGUUAAGUCUGAUGUGAAAGCCCUGGGCUCAACCUGGGAAUGGCAUUGGAUACUGGCAAGCUAGAGUGCGGUAGAGGAUAGUGGAAUUCCUGGUGUAGCAGUGAAAUGCGUAGAGAUCAGGAGGAACAUCCGUGGCGAAGGCGACUGUCUGGACCAGCACUGACACUGAGGCACGAAAGCGUGGGGAGCAAACAGGAUUAGAAACCCCAGUAGUCC